GCAGCCGGGGUCUGUUAUGUGGUGUUGAAGGUGCUUUUGUAACUGCAUCUUCUUCCACUCUCAUGGAAGGGUUACAGUCUGGUGUACAAAACCCACCAUAUGAUUUGUGCGCAUUUGUUUGAAAAAUAAUUGAAGUUGUAAGGCUGUGUUGUGCUUGUACCUUAACCUCUGGUGAAACUGCAGUGAAGCCUGUAGUCUGGCUGCUGUCACAUGCUUUUCUUAUAACUAUAAACGGGAGGCGGUUCCCAGACUCGCCUCUGACGUCUCUCCCCAUUACUACUGUACUAGCCUCUGCUUACAACUGGGUUACUGAGUUCUCAAUGAAGCUUGAAAGCUGCUUUCGCAAAGUCCCCAGUGUUCCAGUGCAGGAUCAGAUUAUCCUAAGAGGCUGAAAUGUCAGGAGGCCAUGAGAUCAUGAAUAUUAUCCAUUUGCUUCAUGGAAGUCUUAAAGAAUUCCAGCUCUCCCCCAUCAUCCUCUCCUGUAUUUUUUUUUGCAGUAUUAUUGCAGAAAUGCACAGCCAGGAGCUCCAAAGGAAUAGGUGAUCCGUGCCUCAGCUCAUUUUGGCAAGCUAAACCUCAGGGAGAGGCACAGUGAAAGUUUAGCAUGGUUAAUGAUACUGGAUUGAGCUGAGGGUGCAGACUAACUUCUAUUUACAUAUUGAGGGCAUUGAUGAUUCACCUGAUAACUGCAUUGCUACAGAAGGAAAAUAAGGGUUUUUCUUUUGAUGUUUCCUCCUCCUUCUUUAUUUUAAACCAAAACCAGAUUGUUUUGUAGUCACUUGAAAUGGAUGAUUUAUGGACUAAUUUAAUCCAUUCUGCCUAGUUCAUUUCAACUUCAAGGGAUAACACAGUUAGAGCUAAUCUGUCUAGUGGUAGCGGGUGUUGGAAGGUGUCAGCCGCAGUGGAUACUAUGGACUAUGCCAGGGAAGGUUUAUGGUAUCUUUCAGCUUCCCAAGAAGAGCAAGGAGCAGUUUGAUUUUUCCAUUUUUGACUUCUUUGAAAAAUAGCACAGGAAAAAAAACACAGGCUGCUUCUUGGAGAUGUUUAAAGAUCACAUGGGCUGGAACGCAGUAUUCCCCAUUUAACCUCUUGGCAUCCCACUCGCAGCAUAAUUCACGGGGUGCAAAAGCUGAGUGAGGUCCUGGGUUGCAAACCAGUAUGCUAGGUGACAAUGAAGCCGAUACAUGUAUAACUCCAGGUACUCAUCAUAGAUUGAGCCCCGUUCUACCCUUUAUGUGCCACUCUCACUCCUAACCUAUAGCUGCGUAUCAAAGAUUUUUCUCUUGGGGCCUUAACUAAUUAGGUCAGUGCAAAGGUGGGCCCUUCUUGCACUUGCAUCCAGAGUGCCUUUUGCUGGAGCAGCGUUUGAGUAUCUUCUUUUAUAAUAUGUGAAUCAGUGAGAAAUGCCGGGAGGCCUGAAGGUUCCUACUGCCCAGGAGGAGAGUGAGAUGGGGACUGCCACUUGAUUGCAGUUGGAGUUGAGAGCACAGCACCCCUGAGGACUGAGUGCUUCUCCCAGGGCAGGCCACAGGCUGACUGCUGUGUGCGAGGGGGUCGGGGCGUUAUUGCUAAAUCCAGCAUUUGUCAGAGGAGAGGCUGAGGCAGAUGUUUUGGUGGCUGCUGCUUGGAAUUGCGGCAGCGGCAUCUUUUAUCACGUCAGUGAACUUGACACAUCCAGACUGUAGCUUGCUGCUGGAGCAGUCAGUUGUAGUCGUGAGACCCCAGCUGCUAGGAGCAGAGAAUUCCCAUUGCAGCUGGGGGCACGGGGUGGGAGGAGGAGGAUCUGAGGCAGGACCCCCCUUUUCUUCCCUUCCGAACUUCUCCUCAGGUCAGUCCAUUUCCAAGCCCUGCAUUUCUCACACUUACCCCUGUGGGAUGCCAGUGCCUGCACCAUGGGAGUGUUGGGUUGCUGAGAUUUGCGCCUGCCCACCCCUUUCUUUGCUUUAAGCUGUAAACCAAAGGCAUCUUUCCAACAGGUGAAUAAUUGAAGUUCUAACCUACUGCCCCUGGUAAAGGGAGCUUUGUGUACAUGGCUGAUUUCUAUCCCACAUUAACCUUUCCAAUGUCAAAAGCUUUUCUGUAGUAAGAAACUCCACUUGCUCUGAUGUUUCAUUUGACAACUCAGCAGAGCUUAAAAAUAGCACUGGUCCCCCAGGAAUCCCCUCCUCUCCUUACUGAUUCCCAAAAGAACCUCUUCUUGGGGAGACCAGCUUUAAGGUAUUUAGCUGAAAGCAUUGCUUGGCUAUGGAGUUGUGUUAGGGCUGCCUAGUGCACACUUUUCUUCUUGGCUUAUGGGCACUGAUUCCAGUGAUUUUGAGCAAACUGAAGGCUGCCAUUGGAAAUUGGUUGCUGUAUUGUUUUUAAGUGGGCUGCUCUUCUACCUAGUUGAACAUCCAGGAGUUGUGCGUCUCUUAAAGAAAGUGCUGAGGCUUUGUACUUUUCCUUUUAAAGACAGGGUCUGCGGUGUUCUGGUAGGAGGGAGUGCUGAGUUCGAGUUCCUGCCUGGAAGAUACUCUGUGCGCCCACAGCGCGGAGAAGAAGCACUGCGGGACCAUUCACAGGGACCCUCAUUGGGUCGGUGCAUAGAAUAGAACAAAUGGUCUGAGAGGAGGUGGAGUCUGCCAGCCCCACUCCGGAGGCAGAACCGCUGUGACAUGAGAGGCAUCAUACUUGUGUUGGUGAUGGGGGCAGGGAGAAGCUCAGAAGACCUGGAUCUCUUCAGGGAUCCCUGGUAGAUUGUUUCCACUCGAUUCUUCAGGAAGCCAUAAUAGAUGCUCUCCCUUCUUUCUUCUAUGUUCUGGUGAAACCAACUCAGGAGAUGCAUUGUUGGUUGGAAGGGCAGGGAGCAGUGGGAGGCCCGAAGGGAAUGCCUUGGCACAAAGUUCCAUUUUUGGGUAUGAAUUCAGUAUUAAGUUAUCGGUUUUGGAGGCCCAGAGCAUUGCAGCAGCUAGGCAGGCUAUCCCAGGAAGGACUGCCUCUGGAGCUGAGACCAUGGUGAGUCCAUCACCCAUUGAGUUGUUUCUAUUGAGACUGUCAACAAAGGAGCCAGGUGAGAUGUGAACAUCUUGCCCACUGGGGACUGAGAUCCACCAGGUCCUUUCAUGGGAGCCACGGCACAGGCCUCCUUUGGUAAAUGUUUCUGGUCAAAGGAAUCUACUUUCCAGCCUCCACUUCCAUGGCUCCAUGGCAACACUGUAAAGGCUUAUAUUUCUCGUGAUUGUUUGGCAGAAAUAGUGAUUUAGUAGAAAGAGGACUGUAUAAACCCUGCGAGGUGCAGAUUGCCAGUGAGCUAGCUUUCUGAACAGCGGAGCUGUCUAUGGCAGUCAGCCCUGGCAACGAAGCACUCCUUCCUUUUUCGUGGCCUCUGAGUUCUCAAUGGAAGACAAGGCAUCUGCUCUAUGGGACUGUAUUUGUAGGGGUGGUGCCAUGCUGCUUGUAUUGGGGAGGGGGCUUGUAAAAUGGGGGGUAGUGAACCAGAUUCUAUUGUCACAGCAGCCGUGUAGCAGGUGGCUAGGCUGUCAACACACUUUUCCUUGAAAAUUAAUGACUAGGAUGGACAGUCAUCUCACGCAGGCUGCAGUCUAGACAAAUCCCAGGUUGAACAGACUUAGAAGCAAACAUGUUAAAAAUACUGCCACUGUGGUACUAAAUUAAAGGCUAAAGGUUAAAGUUAAUGGUCUAGAUAUUCAUGGGGUGUAAAUUUGCCUACUUCCACCAUAGCCAAUGACAGCACCUGUUUGAGCCACCUGAGGAUUUGUCCUAAUCCACUUCCCUGAGCUUAUCACUAUGCCUUUUUGCUUUUCAGUGUUUCCUCCAAGCUUGGGCCAUGCAGAUCCACAAAUGAGUAUUUGUUUAUCGCUUUCAUUGCAGUAGCUACCAAGAACUGCUAAGCACUUUAUACACGCACCUCUUUGUCCCACGGGUGCGUCUGGUCCUGUUCGCUUUGGUCUUCCUCCCAGUCCAUUUCCCUUUCAGGCUGUUCUGCUUCAGGUUACAAAGCUUGGGUUCUUGAAAAGUUUAAACCUGUUUACAUUCAUGUUUAAAAAAAAGACAAACAAAUGCUGUAAAUGUCCCCGUUGGCUGAAAAGGGCAGAGUCCAGAACGUGCUCCUGGUACCCCUGCAAGGGGCUGGGGGGAGCUCAGGCUUGGUCAUAGCCCCUGGGGCCAGGUAUGUUAGCUGGCCUUCCAUUUUCUGCUGAGGCUAGCACUUGUCCAAUUGCCUCCUGCGUGGUUGUUCUAGGACCAGGUCUGAGCAAGGUGCUUCCUUUAUCUUCUUCUCACUCUUUUCUGAAAUCAGGACAAGGCAGAGCUUCACCUUUAGCCCAUUUCACCUUUGGGAAUUUUCAGAGUUAUAACCAAAGUGCGAGAUGGCUGCUUCGUGGGAGCUGGAGCACAGACUACAUGAGGGAUUGAUAAAGGAGAAGCUAUUGGAAUGUCUCAGGAGCUCUUUAUAUCUCUCCGUGUCUACCCAUGUUCCCCACCCAGUCAGUCCAAGCUCCCGGAAGCUUUCCCAGCCUUGGGAAGGGAAGUCCCAGUAGUUGAACACGGUAUGAAUUUCCCUUUAGACAUUAUGGAACCAGAGGGCCCAUAUGCCAUUGCCAUGUGGAGCAGCACAGGGGUGGAGCAAUGCUGUGCAACUCUGGUUUCUCAUAGCGUAAGGGGGAGAGACCAGGGUAUUCUGGGAACAUGGAUGUUCCCCUUGGGACUGGAUGGCACAUUCUUUGCACAGAAUUUUUCCACUGCAGCAGAGGGGAGCAAUAAAAGGUAGCUUAGGAUACAAGCCAGUGCCUCAGGCUCUUCAGUAGCUGAUUACAGGGGCAGUAUAUUGUUAGUAUUUUUUGAAUUCUUUCCCUGUGUGGCUUCUAAGCUAUGAACUCCUUGUCUGCAGCAGCACUGAGCACACUGGAACAAAAAGCCCCUUCCGGUGAGGAAGCCCUGAAUGGUGAGACAGCUCAGUUCCUGUUUCAGUUUGUGGAGUGCGCUGCUGCUGCUGCUGCUGCUGCUGCUGCUGCUUCUGCUUUCCACAUUCACCACUUGGAGACCGCUUGAAGUCUAGUCAAGAGAUCGUGCAUACACCACAGUAAAGAGUCAAUCGCUGCGUUCUAAUUUCCCCACGGUUUAAGAGCAAGGAAAUCCUGUAGUCAGCAGGAACGUUCUGGGCCCCAGUGCACACCACUGCGAGCUCCAGGAUCUGAGCUCUCUGCGUGCGUGAGGCUGGCAUAGUCAGAGCAGCAUGCAGAGGGAAGCCCUGUUGUGCAUUGCUGAAGUGCAUGCAGACAUGAGGCAGCCGAUCAGCAUCUCAAUCAGGUUCCUAUUCUCUCUCCUGCAUGUGGAGGAGGAUUUGUCAGUUCCCACUGUCUGAGCACAGCCGUCCCGACUCACAGACAGGGUCUGAUUCUGCUCUUGCUUCUUCCCCCAGGACAGAGGAGGAGCUCGGCUGAAGUCAGUGGAACGAUGGUGGUUAAGUGAGAGCCUGGUCCAGCCGAGUUGCUCCUGGGGAAGAAGAAGUGCUGCCUGCUGCCUCUGACCUCCCUGUUUGCAUGGGGUGGUGGUUCUCACCAGAUUGGGCCACUUUGCCACAUCCUGUGUGGCAGCUCAGGCCACAUACUACCCAGCAAGUGGGAGAGAGACUGCAGCAUGCUCUGUGCUGUACCAUCUGACUGUACCAACAGAACUCUUUCUGGCUGCAUGAAGACUGUGCACUUCGCAUCCAGCAAAACUGUAGUGAACUUAGUGCAAUUCCCAGGAACUCCAGGGCCAGGAGAAGAGGCUGGGAUAGACUGGGCACAAAUGGAAAUCGGCAUGCUGUGCUAGGAAUUCUCCUUGUUUAAAGUGGUUCUUGCAAUUUUCAUGGUCCUUUGGUUCAAGCUGAUUAAGCUUUGCAUUGAAUUUCCUGUUAAAUUUACUUUAAAAAUGUAUUAGCUUGUGCUGGCCACCUAUGGACCAGAGCUAGUUAAUCUUCCCUUCCCUUUGUCCAAGUUGUGGCCUGGGGCCUUUUCUGAAGUUACCCUUUGAAGGAGCUGUGUGUAGUGCAGACCAAGCUGUGAUCAGAUGAUUUUGAGCCCAAAUUAGGUGCAGCAUGUAGUUUACAAAGUAUAAAUAAAGCGGGGAUGUUUCGGCAAUUUUGCUUUUCUAACAUAUAGUGAUUGCUUUUUCAGGAGAUUUUUUAGACCCUCCCCUGAAAUGGUGAAAAGCCAAAUACAACAGCAGAAGGCUUCUCCAUGGGAACGAGGAAAUCAAACAGACUUCCCAAAUGGAGUGAAAUGCAGCAAGUUGCUCGAGACAAGAUGCAACAGGCGACUGAACUGUGGGUACUUUCUGUUUGCUCCUUGCCUCAGUACUGAGGGUGCAGACGAGUGAAACUAGAGUCCAGGGGAAAAAACUGAGUCAUGCUUUGAGAACUGAUGGGGUGGGUAUCAGCUAGGAGGAUCUAAGCCAGAGACCUCGUUUGCUGUCUAGAGCUCAGCGGUGUGCCAGUUACCUGUGCUUUCCUGUUCACUCCUCCCCUUCUCAUUCUGUCUGCCUCUUAUCAUUCGUUAUUCAUUCUUGUCAAACUUCCCUCAUUUUAGUCUGUUUGGGGCCAAAUCUGGAGCCUUCUUGGUGAUCUUUGCCCCUUGGCUUCUCUCCUGGAGUUGUUUUUGCCCCUUCAGGAUUUUGGUUGGUUUGCCAAGUAUAUGCCUUUGAUUUUGUACAUGUGUGAGUUUAAUACCAGUGUAAGGGGGUCACAAGAACACAGCAGUAGUCUGAGGAAGUGUCUUUACCCACGGAGCAGGCAUAGUAAGUUUUCUAUAUACUGCUGCUCCCCUUUGCUGCUACAGCAAGUGGGCUGUGAGAUUCCCUGCCCAAGUACCACGUCUCCCUAUUUCUCAAUGAGGCAGUUACAUGACAUUAAUUCAGAAAUGAUCAACAUCACCUCUGACCCAGAGGGGCCCCAACACAGGCUGAACAGGAGUUUAGUUGCUGUAGACUUCUCCCCUAAACCUGCCAAUAAAUGCCAACUGUCACAGUUGUUUUUGUGACCUGGAUUUUGUCAGUAAGUACAUGGACUGAACCCUGCCAGACUUGGGAGGUAGCAGACCUAAUGGUCAGAGCAAAAGUUUAGGUGCAUAAUGGCUCUGCCUCCCUGCCCCAUAGCUGUUCACGUGCUGCGAUUAAAGGACGGGUCACCUGAAACAGCUGCUGUAUAGGUAAAUAUGUGAGGAUCUUUUAACCCAGAUUAGCUUUUGGAGGAUAGAGAUAGGCAGACUUUCAAGGAGUCAGUAGUCUGUCUCAUUUACAGUCCUGAGUGAAGCAGUCAGAAGUUUCAGAAGGGAUCCAGAUCUGAGCACAUUGAGCACCAGGCACUUCCUUUCCGUGUGCGGAGAGAAGAGCUGUGGGAAAAUUGGCUCCUAUGCUAUUACUUGCAAGACCCAAUCAGGGGCAGCAGGGAGCUCCCUAAUGAGCACAGGGGGAAAAAACUCUCAUCAGGGUGACCUGCAGGUUUAGUUUGUAAACGUCUAAAUGCUUUUUGAGGCUAGCAUGCACGUUUGGCCAAAUGGCUUCAUCAAUAUUCGAUUUCCCAACGGGGAUGAAAUACUUAGGACAACACAAGGCUAACCCAUGCUAUCGGAUUAAAUAGCAGUGCCUCCCUGUGCUUCUGCGAGCACAUUCUGUGCUUCAGUGGGCCGCAGUGGGAACGCCGGCUGUGCUCUCUCAGAGUGGGGCCAGUCGGUGUGGUAUUUCUGGCCAAGGAAGAGAAGGGGCAAGGUAAGGCAUAAGCCUUACUCUGCCUGGCAUUUGGGGCACUGAGCGAAUUAAAAGUGCGUUGAGCUCAUUUAAUGAAAUAAUGUGUGAUUUGCUUUUUCAGACUCUAGAGUGGAAAGGGGCCUGAUGUGUGCAAUUUGUAUUAGUCAAGGAUGACUUCCUAAGCUCUUGUUUGUGGACCUGGCUUCCUUGCACCACUUGGCCCAAUUAGCUUAUUAGUCAGACCAAAGAGCUGGACUCCAUAGCUCAAGACACUUCAGACCUAUCAGAGGAACCUAUAAGAAGAGCCAGAGUCCCUGGCCUGGCCAAGGCACUGACCUUCCCUGGAAUGCAGUCAGUCACUUUAGUCUUUGACUCUCAUAACUUGCAAGGACUGGCUGGGAGGCAUGGGUAAAAAACAGGCACAGCCUCAAAGUUCAGCUCUUCUGGGAAAGCAGAUUGAAUGUGGGUCUUUCCUGCCAGGGGGCUGUUGGGCUGGCCUACUAGUUCUCUUCUUGUUUCAGGUUACUGAAGCUAGAAGCAUCGCUCAUCAAGCCCCUGACGAGACUUGAUGGUUGGUACUAAGCAAAUGCACCCAGCCUGCAGACCAAAUUCUGCAUUUGGAUAUACAUGGGAAGUAUAUUUUCUGUGGUAAGAGCUAUAAACAGUGGCAUGAAAGCAGGAUUUGGUCCUCUAUAGAUACACAUAUUCAUGGAUCAUCCUGCUAGAGUGCACUGCACUUUGCAGUAUGUGACUCCAUUGUUUGCAUGUUCUGCCAGUAGGGAUGUGCAGCUGUAAAUCCUCUUGUAGGAUUGGAAGUUUGCAGUGUAUGCCAAUGGAAAGGCUAUUUCCUGUAGA